rnacentral:tRNA from 16 species
GUGACGCAGCUGUCAUAGCACUGGUCUUGCAGUUGAACGUUGCUGGUUCAAAUCCCACUGUG